CAGCUGUCAUUUACGUCCGUCCAGAGUAUGCCCUGUAAGCAUGCUAACGUUAGCAGUUAGCACAGUUGCUGUGAAAGAGCUGGUGAGCCCUGUACCGAUAGGCGUCUGAAACCAACAUUCAGUGAGCUAACAUCAGCAAUAUGAGAUGAUGCAGGCCUCCUAAAACUCUGUGUCUCUGCAGGUUUAGAAAGGAACAUUAGGUCCCUUAUAGAACUCCAGUGUAAGGUUGAAUCUGGGACCAUGGCUUGCUAAAGACGUAUUAACUAUGAUUUUUGUAUCCCUUUCUCUUACAGCUAUUUUUCUCUUCAAACGUCACUUGCAAAGCCGGGAACAAGGCAUAUACGAUGUACCAGUUGAGCAGAAAGUAGUCGUCUAAACAGUCUGAAGGUCUCCACUUUUCCGGAUUCCUGGAUUCCACCAGGGACACCUACACGCAAAAGAUAUUCUACAGCCAUA
ensembl:lncRNA